AUUGAACGCUGGCGGCAUGCUUUACAUAUGCAAGUCGAACGGUAACAGGUUAAGCUGACGAGUGGCGAACGGGUGAGUAAUGCAUCGGAACGUGCCCGGUCGUGGGGGAUAACGCAGCGAAAGCUGCGCUAAUACCGCAUACGAUCUAAGGAUGAAAGCGGGGGACCGUAAGGCCUCGCGCGAUCGGAGCGGCCGAUGUCAGAUUAGGUAGUUGGUGGGGUAAAGGCUCACCAAGCCAACGAUCUGUAGCUGGUCUGAGAGGACGACCAGCCACACUGGGACUGAGACACGGCCCAGACUCCUACGGGAGGCAGCAGUGGGGAAUUUUGGACAAUGGGCGAAAGCCUGAUCCAGCAAUGCCGCGUGCAGGAAGAAGGCCUUCGGGUUGUAAACUGCUUUUGUACGGAGCGAAAAGGUCUCCUCUAAUACAGGGGGCUCAUGACGGUACCGUAAGAAUAAGCACCGGCUAACUACGUGCCAGCCGCGCGGUAA
rnacentral:rRNA from 1 species